rnacentral:rRNA from 1 species
UGAGGAAUAUUGGUCAAUGGACGCAAGUCUGAACCAGCCAUGCCGCGUGAAGGAUGAAGGCGUUCUGCGUUGUAAACUUCUUUUAUUAGGGAAGAAACCUGAUUUUUCUAAAUCAGCCGACGGUACCUAAGGAAUAAGCACCGGCUAACUCCGUGCCAGCAGCCGCGGUAAUACGGAGGGUGCAAGCGUUAUCCGGAUUUACUGGGUUUAAAGGGUGUGUAGGCGGACUUUUAAGUCCGUGGUGAAAUCUCCGGGCUCAACCCGGAAACUGCCAUGGAUACUAUUGGUCUUGAAUAUUGUUGAGGUGGGCGGAACGGGUCAUGUAGCGGUGAAAUGCAUAGAUAUGACCCGGAACACCGAUUGCGAAGGCAGCCCACUAAGCAAUGAUUGACGCUGAGGCACGAAAGCGUGGGGAUCAAACAGGAUUAGAUACCCUGGUAGUCCACGCCCUAAACGAUGAUUACUCGACGUUGGCGAUACACUGAUCAGCGUCCAAGCGAAAG